ACUCCCACUUCCCAUACUCCCACCCACUACAAUAUCCCCUACCCUACGGUCCCUCCCAUCCCCAAUCCAGAAUCUAGAAUCAAACAUUACAUGAGGGUACAGAGGAAUAGGAACAUUAGUAGAGCAUAUUUAAAGCAACAAUAACAAGAAAAUAAGUAUUGCAGUUAUCCUUGCUGGGAACCCAAAACAAUGUCUAUUGUCCUGUUGUAACAGGAUAAGAUUUCCCUCAUUCCCCUUUGUCAGGAUGUCCCAUUGCAACUUGUCAGUAUCUCUGAAGGGAACUUUAUUUCCUGUGCCAUUUAAACACCGCUGCUGCAGCUUGCAUACAGAGAACGUGGCAAACUCAGUCUUCUUCCUUGGGAGUCUUCAGUCCCACACAGCCCACACCACCACUUGGUUUACACCAUGUAGCUAGUGUAGGAUUGAGUGUGCACAAACACCCAGGAUAUUUCUAUCAUUUCACUGAGCAUGCUCACAAGGACAAAUCAGUGGCAAAUGUUGAAAAGCUGAAAGUCAUUAAGGUAUCAUCAAGUUCAGAUUCGAACCAUGGGGGGCCAAGAGGCACUGCUCAGGCACAUGUUGGAAUAGAAAAUAAACUUCACUAACUACCUUAUAAAGUCUAAGGGAUCAUUUAUUUUCUUUGUUUAUGGGUUAUUUUUAUUUUAUUUGCAUUAAAAUUUUUAUUUCAUUGAGUGUUUUUUUUAUACUAAACUUUCAUACUUGAGUUCCAAGUUACAGGUACAAAGGCCUUGACAAAAUAAUCUCUUGUCUAAUGCAAUAAAAAGGGUAUUCAGUUUCCCAACUGUUAAUGAAGGUUUUAUACCACUUUGAAUCAGUGUUUUGAGUGGGAAACCCUCUAGAGCAGCGUUCUUGUGGGCCAGCUAGAUCUGUAUCUCUCUCCUGGAUAUCUUCUAAGAUAGUUCUAUAAAAAUAGUUAAACCAAGGCAACUUUAUUUCUAGUAAGACGUAAUCUCUCUCUGUCUCUGUCUCUGUCUCUGUCUCUGUCUCUCUCUCUCUCUCUCUCUCUCACACACACACACACACACACACACACACAUUAGCUAGAUUCACUCCUGAUGAAAUACCUAGUAAAAUCUGUAAAUUGUAAAUGUUGUUACUACAUUUCAACUACCCUGGUUAACAUAAAUCUAUUUACAUAAAUCUAAAUGUGGGCACUUCCUUCAGAAUAUGUACCUAUUAUGUUAAGAAACUUACUUCAAGCUAAAAUCUAUACUUUUUCCUUGGUACCCACUUUGGGCAUCCUGAUAAGGCUAUUUCAACUUCAGCAUCAAGUUUUCCCUAGGAUACAAAAAGGCUCCUGUCCAAGCUGCAGAGCAACAACAGUUGAUCCAGUGCUUUGCAGUUUUCAGAGUAUAUCCCCAUUCACCUGCAUAUUUACAAAUAAAAUCUGCAAUCUUAACCAGACCCCUUGGUAGUCUUUAGUUUUUCAAUGUGGGGGAAUACAUUGACAACAAACACAUUGAAAAACACUGAAAGGUCUUACUUUGAGAAUCACAAAGUCAUCAUAACAUAUAAGAUAGUUAUAUUAUUGUUACAAAGGAAGGGAGUUUGAACUAGACACAGAAAACUCUCUGAACAAGAGUUAUCAGAAUAAACAACUUCAUCCCCACUCUCAAACUGUCCAGACUGGGUCCAUCUCCUUUCAUUUCUUACAUGGCCCCAAGGACAACAGUGUUCAUCAAUGAGGCUUUGCCUCAUAGUUUAGAAAUGUUGACAGCCUUCAGCAAUGGCAAAGUAGCAAGCAGAUGGUCCUCAUUUGUAAUUAUGGUUCCAGGUAGUCACUUGCUGAUAUUAAGGCAUGAACCUUUCCUGGAGCAAAGCUACCUAUUAAACCAGGUCAUGGAGAAGUGAACACCCAAGCUUAAAAAAAUUCCUCAAAAUGUAGGGAAAGGAAUUUUAGCCUUCUGUUGUCCUUCUUACAUUCUUUGUGCUAACAAGGGACUGAGCCCAAAAGUCUCAAUGUCUUGAUGAAUUCUCAGGUGUAAUAUAAAAUUACGAUUUUAUAUGUAAUGUUUAAAAUAAAAUGGCAUUUUAAAAAAAAGUCCUUUUCUGGCAUGAAUCAACAAGAUUUUUUUAUGUUAAGGGUUUCUUGAAGCUGUGUGUGUAUCAUUUUGUGUUUGUGUAUAUGUUUAUGUUCUUCUGUGUGUGUGUAAUUAUCUCUGCAUGAAUUGUUUAUGCUCAUGUGCAUUCAAGUUGCUACUCCUUUGAAGGUUUGUUUUUAAGAUUAAGUGGAUUUUCUUUACAAUAAUAAAUAUACAAUUGGUAUUGUUAUACCCAUUUGCUAGUAAGACACUGGCCAUGUUACAAUGCCAGAGAAGUGAGUGAUACACAUAUUUUAAUAAAUUAUGGUCAGCAUCUGCAACAAUGUACAAAAUAGUCAUCUAAUCACCCCAAGAAAUGAUGAUUGUUUUGAAAAAAUCACAGAGUUCAUUCAUUCAAACAGAUAAUUGACUGAAAUAAUGACUAAAAAUAAAAUUUAGAUUUGAAAUAUGCAUUAUGAAAAGACCUGGUUAUGUUUGUUUUAAAAUACAGUAAAUCUGUGUGUGCAUUUUUCUGUAUGUGUGUAAGUUUGUAUAUGUGGGGGGUGUUUAUGUGUGUUCACACAUGUGUGGAUGUGUGUGUGUGUUUGCAUAUUUGUGUGAGUAUGUAUGCAUGUGUGUGUGUGUUUGUGUGUGUGUGAGAGAUAGAUAGAUAGAUAGAUAGAUAGAGAGAGAGCAUACAAAGAUACCUUAACUACAGGAGGGGAGGGAAUUCUCAAUGAAAGAGGCCUUCAGCUCAACACCUAGGAGUGAAUCUACAUUACACAUAUACAAGUGAGUAACAUAUAAGAUUGAUUACUAGCAUCCCAGAUAUAUGUGUCAGGGGAUAAAUACCCCUAAUCCAACCUGUCCCAAUGAGGCAUGACAUUGGACCAGCUGCAUUUAGAUUUUACUCUCAUCAAAUCAUUUUUUAAAAUGUCCUGGGUUGGACCAAGAUACAGUUUGUUGGCAUUGGACAAAGGCUGGCAUAUGCAUUUGCAUGUGUGAAAGGGGAGAAUUUGGCAACUUCUCCCAUCCACCACUUUUGUAACUCUCUUUGUUCAAAUAUACAUUUCAAAAAUGGUGUCUUUCUGACAAGAAGGUGACUGCUAACACACUACCAGUAGGUAAUACACUUUAAACUGUUUCUCCAGAAGUGAAAAUGAAUUUUGCAAGGCUAUUCAAAGAACAGUUUUGUUAGGUCUUCCAGAUGGCUGAUAACCCAUGUUCAGAAAAAGGCUGGCCAGGGUGAGUGGUGCAGUCUGUGUAAACAGACACACAUGGGGUUUUGAACCUGUGUGCCCAUAGUUCUUUAGCACCACACUCAAACUCACAGAGCUAAAUGGCUGCACAUGGAUUAGAGCCUAAGACCUAGAGCUCAUUAGCACCAUGUUCCAACCAAAUUAGUGCCCCCAGCCAGAAACUACUUACAAUGGUAGCACCCUCAGACUUAAUUGGGUGCUGAGUUAAAAAUAGUUGCUGCUGAAAAAAAAUCUAAGCAAUACCCACAAAAAACUGAAACUACCAAGAGGCCCGCUUCUUCAACAUCUUGUGUAUCAGCAAAGCUGCUGGGUAGACAAACGUCUGUGAGUAUGAAGUGGAGGAAGCAGCAGACAUUGAAGCUGGAUCAUCUGUCAAGCAUGGAACAUUCCAGUUCUCCAGCCUUACUGGGGGGCGGGGAUGUGGUCUGAUUCUUUGGAGGACAAAGGUGAGAGUAGGGAGGGGGUUUUCCUGGGAAUGAGAGAACAUUAGGUGAACAUACUAUAGCACAAUAGUCAUUUAAAUUACAAUGAUAGCCCUUUUAUCUGAAUUUCUCUUAAUUCUAAGCAGGUAAAAGAGCAUAUCAGAGCAAGGUAUAAUUCCUCCAAGAAACACUGGGUACCUAGGGGCAAUUCCAUUCUGCCCUCUGCUUAUGGGGAGGCAAAGUACUAGACAGUCAUUCUGAUUGUCCUGCGAUGUAUCCAUCCUGCCAAAAGGAAAAUGAGAAGGACAGCUGUCUGUCAGUUAGUUCAAAAAAAUGAUAAGGGUUUACAUAAGGAGGGAGAAAAAGAUAUCAGCCGAGCUCACCAGUCACAAAGACUACAAUCUCAAAAACAGCUGAAGCUGAAAGGUGAUGAUAGGUGGAUGUGCAAUUUACAGUGGUGGCACCAGCAGAUGUUGUCAUCUAGUUAGUCCAGGACUUCUCUAAAUAUUUAGUCUUAUACUUGUAUGAAUAUAGUUUUUUUUUAACUUUUGGUGGUGAGUGUAGGAAGGGAGGGGAGAUAAAGGCUUCAUUCAUGAAAGUGAAAAUAGAAAGAAACAGAGCUUAAACUAUAGCUCUUUCUCCUCAAAUUCUUCUUGAUCUAAAAAAAGGGAUGCAAUACUCUAGCAAGUAUGGAAAAUUUCCAUAGAUACCUGGACUUCAAAAAAAAUCCACAUUUUGCUGUCACCAAGUGGGAUGAGACAAGCCAGAAGCUAAACUCCAGUUAAUCUGCUUUAUGCCUCUGGCUUGCCCUUUUCCUGAGGAAACGCAAGGAUGCAAAGGACUUUGAAAACAUCCUGUUAAAAAGAAAAUGAUUAAGAUAGGAGAAGCAAGAGAAAUUCAUUGAGGAGAAAUAGAUAGAAGCAGAAGCACACAUACACUCUCACAAGAUUAUGAUAACCUGUUUUUAAAACUGCUUAAAGCCAGUGGGGUACAGGAGUCACUAUGAAGUUCACAGCAAAUGCAGCAACAAAAGUAUGAAGCCAGUUAUCUGGGCCUGGGACUUUCAAGAGAAUCUCCAGAGUUAUACUGUGGUGAUAAAAGUCUGUUGUUGUUGUUGUUGCUGCUGUUGUUUUGAAGUUAUGUUGCUUCUGUGGGGGUAUGACUAUGAGAAAGGGAGAGGGAGGGGGAAAUGAGCAA